rnacentral:lncRNA from 1 species
GAGGCAGAACAAUAGGUCAGAUAGAUGUGAUGUGAGAAGAACUUGAUCCACUGUUGCAGGCUUUGGCAAUGAAGGAAACAGGUCAUGAGCCAAGGAAGAAGGGCAGCCUCUGGAAGCUGGAAAGACAGGGAAACAGAUUUUCCCCUGGAGCCUCCAGAAAGGAAUGCAGCCCUGGUGACACCUGGAUUUCAGCCCAAUGAGACCCAGGCUGUGAAAACAUCCCACGGCAGUCCUAAGGGAGCCAUCCGAGCCUCCAAAUCCUGUCCCCUCUUCACUGCCUGCCCCCACUGCCAAAGAAAGCUACAGUGUUCUCUGUGAAUUGCCAGCCGCAGUCCCCUCCCUUCUCUGCCUCUCUGUUCCAAGCCCGAGGGAGGUCGUGGGUGACCAGCUGGCUUGAUGAAUGCGGCUUCUGUAAACCUUCCCCGGCCUCUGUCGCUGCAUCAGCGUGAAAUGAACUUGCUAAUACUCUAAGAGCCACAAACCUUUUCCUCCACCCCAGCACGACACAUCGAAUCGAUCUGGCUGGGUGAGCCGCGACAAACCCCACAGAAAAAAGCAUCAGCAAAUUUAAAGCCUCAUUCGAGGUCUUGAUUCACCAUAAACUAAGUUGCUGGCAGCAGGCAUUGACACUUCCACUGUGGUUGAUACUGCGAUUUAUUUGACUUGCCGUUAAGAUGUUGAUAUUGACCAAGACUGAGUUCUAAAUGAAAAGGCCCAUGGCAAUAUAUCUUUAUUGCUCAAGUAAUCCGAGGACUUGCUAAUCCUUUCCUGUCCGCCAAGAUGGUCUCACUCAAUAAUGUUGCAGAAAUUCUCUAGGAACACAGAAACCAUCACUUAGAUACAACAAGAUGUUCUUUCCCCACAAGGCCUCCUGAAAGAGGAAUGGUGGUACAAGCAGUGUGUUUAGUAACAGGACCAAAGUGUUGGAAAUCUGUUCUUGCCCCCACAGCCCAAACCAUUAUAUUUUUUUUAACUUUUCAGAGACCUAACACCUUCCUUUUCAGAAACCCAGAAACAAAUCACAAAGGACUUUGUAUGGGACUUGCUCAUGAAGAGUAUCCGCUUCCCUUUCUUCACCUGGCCCAUGUUAGGGCUUCAGCCUUGCCUACCUCUAACCCAGGCAAAUGAAUCCUGGUCCCAAGGGGCACUAUGAUGUCACCCUUAGUGCUGGCCCCAACAGUGAAAUUAAUGUGACAGUUGGUUCUUGCUAAUUUCAAGGCCCAGUAGG